rnacentral:lncRNA from 1 species
UUGAUUCUUCCCUCUUUUCUUCUUUAUUAGUCUUGCUAGCAGUCUAUCAAUUUUGUUGAUCUUUUCAGAAAACCAGCUCCUGGAUUCAUUGACUUUUCGAAGGGUUUUUGUGUCUCUAUCUCCUUCAGUUCUGCUCUGAUCUUAGUUAUUUCUUGCCUUCUGCUAGCUUUGAGUGCAUAUGCAAAUCAGAAGAACCACAUGCUCUUUACUGAUGUCAUGGAUUCAGUCAUCUGUUCAUUCACUUGCUUAGAUCUUACAUUUAAGUCUUUGAUCUAUCUUGAGUUAAUGUUUGUAUAUUGUCAUAGGUAGGGUUUCAUUCUUCUGCAUAUCAGAUGGGAGUGCAGUGGCAUGAUCUUGGCUCACUGCUGCCUUGACCUUCUGGGCACCAAUAAUUCUCCCACCUCAGCCUCCCUGGCAACUGGGACUACAGGUGUGCAUCACCUUAUGGUUUUAUACAAUUUAGAAUAAUUUAUUUUUAGCCAUGACAUAUGUAACUAUAAAUAUGAAUGUGUAUUUUUCUUUGUCUGUUUAUCAUUGUAACUAGUUCCAGGGUUCUUUUUUAGGGAGCAACUUCCUUUGUUAAAAAUGUUUUUCAUUUCAGGAAUUCUUCAUUUAAAAUGCUUCUGACCUGACCCCUAGAGUUUUUCUAGAAACAAUUAACAAAUAAAAACACUGUCCAGGAGAUGUACAUGAAAUUAAGCCCAGAUUAAUACAACGAUGAUGAAUUAGAACAUACAACUUUUGUCUUUGAUAAUAUGUAGUGAAUUUUCAAUUAUCAUUUGUUUAUUGUUUAUGAAAAAACUUUAAAUUUCAAGCUGAUAUUCUUGCCACCUCUAAAUCCUUUCAUUCUGAAAGAAUAUGUAGUUCCAUACAACAUGCAUUACCACACUGUAAUCGAAGAAAUAUAAUGAAAAUAAGCUGUGGCAUCCUCAUCCAGGGAUAUUUGCCUCUAAGCAUUUGCUGGAUGAUCCUAAUUACCUCUACUUCUACGGUUAUAGGAGUGAAAAAUUGGAGUUCUUGUUGGUAGGAAAGAUUGAAGAAACUUUCCCCCAUCCCAGGUUCCAUCUUCAGAACUCUUGCUCCUUUUACCUUCUCUGUAUUUUUCACUGGUGCCUUGGAUGUUUACCCUGGCCACUGCAGCCCAGCUCAAGCAGGUGGGCUUGUUAUACUUUGUUAGAAAGAAAAAGGGGAAUUUCAGGUUACUAACAAUGUAUGGCUAAGAUUCUCUUGUAAGUUACAGUGUCAUAAAUUUUUGAAAUAUUAUGGCUCAAGACUAAAUUCUAAAGAGCUCCACUACCAUUACUACAGCUGAGAUAACAGUACAGGUUGAAAUGUACCAAAUAGCCCUUUCUGAAAGUCAUUUGCCGUCACUCCUUGUAAGCAUUUAAUAUUUAAAUUUUUCCUUUUGCAUUUUUUUUUCUAUAGUCUGAUCCAAAUUAAGCUAAUAUAACAGCCAUCUUGCUCCCAGAGCUUAGGACUCCAAGUGUGGCUUAUGCUGGACCUUCUGUGAAUCUCAUUUUCUCACUUUCUUU